rnacentral:rRNA from 1 species
UACGUAGGGGGCUAGCGUUGUCCGGAUUUAUUGGGCGUAAAGAGCUCGUAGGCGGUCUGUCGCGUCGGCUGUGAAAUCCCGAGGCUCAACCUCGGGUCUGCAGUCGAUACGGGCAAACUAGAGUAUUGCAGGGGAGACUGGAAUUCCUGGUGUAGCGGUGAAAUGCGCAGAUAUCAGGAGGAACACCGGUGGCGAAGGCGGGUCUCUGGGCAAUAACUGACGCUGAGGAGCGAAAGCGUGGGGAGCGAACAGG